AAAUAGAACUUUGCAGAGAGAGUUACAGGCGUGAACCGUUAAUUGGCAAACGAAUCGGAGCCACGAAGUCGUUUCGCUGAUUAGUUGGGCCAAGUUCAGUCCAAGAUCGCAAGAUUUUGGGUGUAUUCUUGUAGUCCAACCUAACAUUGUAAACGUACACUGCAACCAGUUAGACGAUUGGCGAUGGGCCCAGCUGGUUGGGGAGCAAUCCCCGGCUAGCGCAGCUAUUGUCCGUUUGAGCCAGCAGCAGCUUGGUGCGCCUCGGCGUAUUCGAGUUGUUGGGCGCAGGCGGGAGAACUAUCGCCAAACACUGACUGGCAAAAUAAAAAUCACUCGCAGAGUGUUUGAAUAGAACGCGGCCGUCCACAUGGGUGUCCACAUGCUUGACCGUUUGGCUUAAGCUCAGCAUUUUUAAAUUCAAACUUGCUUGCUACCAGUGGGGCAACUCCUGGUGCUUGUAUUGCUUUGUCUAAUUGGGUGUUGACUUGGUUAGGCGUCGUUCGAGCAUGCAACGAUCGGGCGCCUAUGUGAGGUGGUUCGCAAUCAUUGGCAGUGAGUAGGUCGGCUUUCCGAACGA
rnacentral:rRNA from 1 species